rnacentral:rRNA from 1 species
GACGAACGCUGGCGGCGUGCUUAACACAUGCAAGUCGAACGGAAAGGCCCUGCUUUUGUGGGGUGCUCGAGUGGCGAACGGGUGAGUAACACGUGAGUAACCUGCCCUUGACUUUGGGAUAACUUCAGGAAACUGGGGCUAAUACCGGAUAGGAGCUCCUGCUGCAUGGUGGGGGUGGAAAGUUUCGGCGGUUGGGGAUGGACUCGCGGCUUAUCAGCUUGUUGGUGGGGUAGUGGCUUACCAAGGCUUUGACGGGUAGCCGGCCUGAGAGGGUGACCGGCCACAUUGGGACUGAGAUACGGCCCAGACUCCUACGGGAGGCAGAAGUGGGGAAUAUUGCACAAUGGGCGGAAGCCUGAUGCAGCAACGCCGCGUGCGGGAUGACGGCCUUCGGGUUGUAAACCGCUUUCGCCUGUGACGAAGCGUGAGUGACGGUAAUGGGUAAAGAAGCACCGGCUAACUACGUG